rnacentral:tRNA from 1 species
GGUUUGUGGCUUAGUGGUAGCGUGCUUGCGUGGCAUGCAUGAGGCACUGGGUUCGAUUCUCAGCACCA